CCUACGGGAGGCAGCAGUGAGGAAUAUUGGACAAUGGGCGCAAGCCUGAUCCAGCCAUGCCGCGUGCAGGAAGAAGCAUCUAUGGUGUGUAAACUGCUUUUGUACAGGAAGAAACACUCCCUCGUGAGGGAGCUUGACGGUACUGUAAGAAUAAGGACCGGCUAACUCCGUGCCAGCAGCCGCGGUAAUACGGAGGGUCCGAGCGUUAUCCGGAAUCAUUGGGUUUAAAGGGUCCGUAGGCGGUUUAAUAAGUCAGUGGUGAAAUCUGGUCGCUCAACGAUCAAACGGCCAUUGAUACUGUUAGACUUGAAUUAUAAGGAAGUAACUAGAAUAUGUAGUGUAGCGGUGAAAUGCUUAGAUAUUACAUGGAAUACCAAUUGCGAAGGCAGGUUACUACUUAUGGAUUGACGCUGAUGGACGAAAGCGUGGGGAGCGAACAGGAUUAGAUACCCUGGUAGUCCACGCCGUAAACGAUGGAUACUAGCUGUUCGGAGCAAUCUGAGUGGCUAAGCGAAAGUGAUAAGUAUCCCACCUGGGGAGUACGUUCGCAAGAAUGAAACUCAAAGGAAUUGACCGGNGUGAGAGAGCGACGACGACGACGAGGGAGGAGG
rnacentral:rRNA from 1 species